CCGUGACAUUCAAAACCUACAAUAGGACCGCAAAGCUCAGAUUGAAAAAAAAGAAGCCAAAAGAGAGAAUCCAUUACUCCAAACUUUAAUAUUUCCACUUCAAGGUAGCAACAACAGUAAUCCAGACUACUAUCUAUCAGCAUCAGUUUGUGAUGAUUCAAACACUGCAAGUUACUUCAGCAACAAACCAAGGCUCACUCAGAAUUGACAUCCAACACCAUGUUCAUUUUUUAAAUUUAUGUAGUUGGAGAUUCUAAUUUCAUUCCAUAGUCAUAUAUUCAUACAAUUUGAAAUGAUUGUCAUGAAUCUACUAAACUUGUUGGAUGGUGUUGUUUUUAAAUGUAUUGGAGAGGCCUGAUCUCCCCAAACCAUGAUGGGUUUGCUGGAAAGUAAAAAAUAUAAUGGAAAUAAAUCUGUCCUUGUAAUGUAAAUAGAUUUUUCUCAUGGUUCAAGUUCAAUGGCUGCAGUUGGUUGCUUGCGUACUAUUAGCACAAUACUUGAAUCAGUGAACAGUCUUCCUCAACUUUUUGUACAAAUCGAGCCUACCUUGCUUCACAUAAUGCGUAGCAUGUUAACAACCAAUAGUCAAGGUAUUCCCUUAUGAAUCAUGUUUAUCUAAAUGACUCUGAGGCUUUCUUUUGCUUCUAUCACCUUGUCUUUUCAGUGUCAUUGUGUGUUUGCUUGCAUAUACACAUUUAUUGAGCAAAGUUGAUUCUACUUGAUUAUUAGUAUACUUAAAAAUAAUCCGAUGAUAAUAAAUUGGGUGGAGAGCUCUAGAUUUGAAUGUAAUUGAGAGACAAAAAUCAAGCAUCACUGUUUUUUUUUUUAUAAUUUAUUAUAAGUGGUUUGUAGGAAAGUGUCGUCCUUGUAGCUUUAUAAUGUAAUAGUAGGAUUCAGUUUGUAUUAAAAGCAAAAUAAUGUGAUGCUGAGAACAGAAGCUGGGUUAUUUAGCACUUUCAACUUAUCGGAUGUCGUUAGACUGUGGUAUUUAGACUAUUGUUAGCAAACUUAAGCUGGGUUUUACUUGGUUAUGUUUAUUUCCAUUAUCUUCUAUGCAUGGUUACAGAUGUUUUUGAAUUUUUUUUGGAGAUUGUACCAUAUAUGACUUUUUUCUCUCCAACAAUAUCACUGGACAUGUGGAAUCUUUGGCCAUUGAUGAUGGAAACACUAUCAGAUUGGGCUAUUGAUUUCAUCUCAACUUAUCUUCUUCGCCUUACAAAAGUUCAUUACUUUUCAACUUCUUUUUAUAUGUUAAUAACAUAGAAAAGCUAGAGAUGAAUCAGUGUCUCCCAGUAAACCUGAAGAUAAGUCUAUUCAAAAACAUGGAAUAUCUUUCAAAUAUUUUCCUGGUUGCUCUGACAUCUAAGUUAAUAUAAGUCUUUAUAUAUUUUCUACAUGUUUACUCGAUUAGUUUAUUCUGCAGAUAUUCUGGUUUCUUUGGACAAUUAUUAUAUUUCAAAGGGUAUCAACAGAGUUUGUGGAAUAUGAUUUCCUCUGUAUGUGAUCUUUGAAUUAUUAUCAUUAAUUGAGCCACCACCUGCAGGAGUGGGAUCUGGUGAUUGUAAAUGAUUGUUAAUUUGUUAUUAUUUUUUCUAGCUUCUUCUUCUUGUUGUCUCUGACUAUGGCAGAUAAAAAUAUGGAGGAGGAGGACAGUGAUAUUGAGCCAGCUCCAAAGCUGAUUGAAAUUGUCUUCCUAAACUGCAGAGGACUGGUGGACCACUGGGUUGAGCCAUAUCUCAGAAUUACAAUUGAAAGUUUGCAUAGAACUGGAAAAAUCAUAUUUGAAAUGUCUUCUCAUUCAAUUGAUUUCAGAUGGUCUAUACUAAAACGCCGCAUUGAAUCUUAUCAUAUUGCAAAAGAAGUUAUGAUGUGUAGCAUUGUGAAGGUCUAUUCACUGCAGGCUUGUGACUAUUUUUAUGCUGGGAACAUGGCAAGCAAGUUUGUUGGUUUGGUUUAACAUCCUUGCUGGAACUUCCAUCUGAUCAAUUGCCAGGAGAGGCUUUAGGCCAGGUAUUCUGUGCCACUCUUGAUCUUCUGGUUCCAUACAAGGAUCAAGUUGCAGAAUCUGCAAAAGAGGAUGAAGAUGAAAUGGACAGCUUUCAAACUGAUGAUGAUGAUGAGGAUGAAAGUGGUUCUGACAGGGAAAUGGGAGCUGAUGCUGAAGGUGGGGAUGAAGCUGACAGUAGCAAACUUAGAAAAUUGACUGAUCAGGAAAAGUCAUUCAGGCCCAAUGAUGAGGAUGAUGAUGACUAGGAUGAUGACUUCAGUGAUGACGAAGAGUUACAGUCCCCAAUAGAUGAGGUGGAUCCUUUUAUUUAUUUUGUGGAUACAGUGAAAGUGAUGCAAUCAUCAGAGCCAACGAGGUUCAGAACCUAACUCAGACACUUGAGUUCUCUUAUCAAGCUCUUGCAAAUGGUCAAGUUGGAAAAGUCAGCAGCUACCAUAGAUUCUUAAGCUUUUGGACGUACAUUCUUGGUUCUUGUUUUGCAGUUAUGUUCUUGAUGCUUUUGUCAUUGCACCCAUUCUUUGUAAGUGAUGAAGGGGAUUGCAUAUUUAUUUGAGGCAUUUAUUGGCUCGGUGGUCUUAGUGUGUUUGUGAGUCUAAGAGUUUGCAGUGUUGAAAUGCCUGCGAGUUUAGGAAGUCAAAUGAUGUUGGAUUCAGGAAACUGUGGAGUUUAGCGGCAUAACUUUUCUAUUGAUUAGUGACAAUUUAGAAAAGCCAACAUCCUCGUGGUACUACCAAGGCCAGUGCUGAUCCUGGACACUACCGAGGCCUCAUAAUGUGAUUUCAAUGUCAUGAUGCCUGAUCGGAAAUUAAUUGAAAAUUAAACAAUGAUAUUACAUAUAAUAUUUCAGUGAAACUUCGUUAAGGAAAAUAAAAUCAACUAACAAGGAGUAAGCAUUAAUGUACCGGUCGCGAAAAUGAGCAUAGCGAAUGGAGGAAAAUCGAGAGAGGGGAGGGAUGAGGUGUGGUUAGGAGUUAAAGUUGAAAUACUGAGUGGCUAUGAAGCAAAAAGCAUUAACAAGCAAUAUUUUUAAAUAUUUUCCAAAUGACAAAGUUCCAUACUCAAGCAAAUGUAAACUGUGUCUGUGUCCAAGUACUUGCCAGGAAGGAAACAGUAAGCAAUCCAUGAACAAGAGAAGCUAUAUGUAAGGAUUAGUCAAAUCCUUAACCAAGGGAUUUAGCUUCCCCUCUUAUUUAUUUAUUAGGAUUAUGAUUCCGUUAGUUACGAAAUUUGUGUCCCUGUGUUACUUCUAUUUAAACUGUAAUAUUCAGCUGUAAUAGGCAUAUGAAUAAAGCAAAUAUUUAUACA